rnacentral:rRNA from 1 species
UACGUAGGGGGCGAGCGUUGUCCGGAUUUAUUGGGCGUAAAGAGCGUGUAGGCGGCUAGGUAGGUCCGCUGUGAAAGCCCUCAGCUCAACUGAGGAAGUGCGCCCGAAACUGCAGAGCUUGAGUACCGGAGAGGAUGGCGGAAUUCCCCAAGUAGAGGUGAAAUUCGUAGAUAUGGGGAGGAACACCGGUGGCGAAGGCGGCCAUCUGGACGGAUACUGACGCUGAGACGCGAAAGCGUGGGGAGCAAACAGG